AUGCAGGUUAAGCGUUACACGCCCUCCUUUUUUAAAAAAAUUUUUCCUUUUAUUUCCUCCCCCUACCCGUCUUCUUUUUUUUUUUCUUUCCUUUUUUUCUUCCCCUCCCCCCUUCUCGUUUUCGAGUGCGGCCGCUCGGCGGCCAAGGUCGCCGCUGCCCCUGCAGCGCAGCCCGAGCGGGGAAUUUGGCGAUGGUCCCUCAACGCACAGCAUGCUCGGCCGCCCUGCCCUGCCCCCCUCCCCUCCCCGCCCCGCCGCAGCCUCUCUCCUCCUGUCUGCAAAGUAGCGCAGAUUUAUAAAGGAACCCAAAACACUGGAUUUGAUUCUACAGGUGCAGCACCUCCAAGGAAGAGGUGGAAUACGGUCAUUCUCUAGCACGUAAGAUAACCUUCCAGUACACAAUUCCAGUGAAAGUCUCAGUGGUCCUGGCUCCUUCCUGCCCAAGAGCAGCAGCAGCGGACUCCAUUCUUCCUCCUUGCCUGGCCCUCAGAAGAGAUUGCCUGCGGGCCCACAAGAAUGGUUUUCUGUAAUUGGCUUAUAGGGAAUGCUGUAUCAGAGUAUCUGGCUUUUUUAAUUGUUUGUUUUAUUGAAGUUUGUUUAUUAAAGAGAAUAUCUGGUCACAAUAGAAACAUGCUUUUUGAAGCCUGUGUAUUACCAAGAGACAAGGGUAGCAUACUGAUCAGAUUAUUGCUUCCUUGGGCUCUGAAGUGCAUACGCAGCUCUGCAGGCCCCGUGGGUAGGGUCUUGGCGUUCUCUCUCUCUCUCCCCUUUUUCAAUUGCGUUGUGCCAGUUCUGCUGUAACCAUGGCCCCCUGCAGCUGUACAGGCAGGAUGGUGAGGCAGGAGUUGCUCUACCUGUGGCAUUUCUAAGAAACAAAGGUUAGAUCUAUAUUGCGGAUUGCAGUGUAAUACAGAGACAGCAAAGCUAGCUUUAGGCAAACUAAUUUGACUGCCACCGGCUGUCUGGCUGAUGAAGUAGAGAGGUCUGGAUGGGCUCAUUUAUCCUGCUGAAAAGUGUGGUUGUUUACAGUUAGAUUGCUUCUUGAGAUGGUAAAUUAGAGGCAGUACAGGAAACCAAGUCUGGCUCUAGUACCCAAGGCAGUUCAGCCAGCUCUGCAGCAUACAUGUACGCAAUUAGUUGUGUUUGUUAAAUUAAAAGUUUUCAAACUGCCGGUGUUACCUGUAAAUUAAAAAUAUUCU
rnacentral:lncRNA from 1 species